UCCCUAGUGGCUCAGAGGGUACAGCGUCUGCCUGCAAUGCGGGAGACCUAGGUUUGAUCCCUGGGUUGGGAA
rnacentral:tRNA from 1 species